rnacentral:rRNA from 1 species
GGAGUUAGCCGGUGCUUCUUCUGUGAGUGAUGUCCUUCCUGCCGGCUAUUAACCCGCAGGCCUUCUUCCUCACUGAAAGUGCUUUACAACCCGAAGGCCUUCUUCACACACGCGGCAUGGCUGGAUCAGGGUUGCCCCCAUUGUCCAAUAUUCCCCACUGCUGCCUCCCGUAGGAGUCUGGGCCGUGUCUCAGUCCCAGUGUGGCUGAUCAUCCUCUCAGACCAGCUACGGAUCGUCGCCUUGGUGAGCCGUUACCUCACCAACCAGCUAAUCCGACAUAGGCUCAUCCGAUAGCGCGAGGCCCGAAGGUCCCCCGAUUUCCCCCGUAGGGCGUAUGCGGUAUUAGCCUGGGUUUCCCCAAGGUUAUCCCACACUACCGGGCAGAUUCCUAUGCAUUACUCACCCGUCCGCCGCUCGCCACCAGGGAGCAAGCUCCCCGUGCUGCCGCUCGACUUGCAUGUGUUAGGCCUGCCGCCAGCGUUCAAUCUGAACCAAGAUCAAACUCUGA